UACAUCCUCGUUGACGUACAUCAUGUGAUAUUCCUCCGGUGUGGAGUUAAGAAUUUGGGGGUUUCUUUCAAGAAGCAAGUAAAAUGUACAGCAACUAAAGUUUACUUGGUCUCAAAUUCUUCUUGCCCAGGUUCCAAUGGCUCCAAAACAGCCAAACACAGGACUCUUUGUGGGUCUAAAUAAAGGGCAUGUUGUCACCAAGAAGGAAUUAGCACCUCGUCCUUCCGACAGAAAAGGGGCUUAUCAAGAUAUUCUCUAGCUUUGAGAGCUGCAUAAGGCUAAUGAUUAAAAAAAGAAAAAAUGGAGAUUCUAAAGAUCAUCAUCCAAAUGCACCAAAAUUUAGAGUAAGAUCGAACCACUAUUAAUGAAGGUAUUCUACUGGGCUAGGAUGCUUGUUGUUUGGAUAUGGAGCCAUGGAAGAACUUGGACCCUUCCGUGUUAACAGUGAUGGAAAAACACUCUACCCCAACCACUAUGCAUGGAACAAUGGUGCAUGCCUAACCCUAUAAAACCUUUGCUUUUGAGGUACUAACUGUUUUCUCCUGGAAUUUUUUUUGCCUGAGAUUUUUUGCUGCCAGCUAUCCCUUCGGGACCACUCUUAUGUAUUAUGUUAAAAGCACCAAUUCAGAAAUUUGCUGAUUAUGUAAGUCAGCUUUCCUCUUCCUUUUUGCUUUUUAUUAUUUAUGCACCCUUAUGCCACAAAUCUCUUUAUUUAUCAUACUAAAUAUGCAACCAUCCCUUAUUUUACUCCUAACUUGUUGUAUAAUUCAUUCAUGUCAGCUGCAUAUAUGUUGCAUAAAAUAAAUUGGUAAAAGUAGACAUGUGAAUUAUGCAUCUGUUAUCUCAAAUCUUACAUUUAUUUUUAUUUCUGUUAUUGUUUU